CUACGGGCCGCUGCAGUGAGGAAUAUUGGUCAAUGGGCGAGAGCCUGAACCAGCCAAGUCGCGUGAAGGAAGAAGGUUCUAUGGAUUGUAAACUUCUUUUGUAAGGGAAUAAAAAGAGUUACGUGUAACUUAUUGUAUGUACUUUACGAAUAAGGAUCGGCUAACUCCGUGCCAGCAGCCGCGGUAAUACGGAGGAUCCAAGCGUUAUCCGGAUUUAUUGGGUUUAAAGGGUGCGUAGGCGGACCCAUAAGUCAGUGGUGAAAGUUUGCAGCUUAACUGUAAAAUUGCCAUUGAAACUGUGGGUCUUGAGUGUAAAUGAGGUAGGCGGAAUGUGUUGUGUAGCGGUGAAAUGCUUAGAUAUAACACAGAACACCAAUUGCGAAGGCAGCUUACUAGAAUACAACUGACGCUGAGGCACGAAAGCGUGGGGAUCAAACAGGAUUAGAUACCCUAGUAGUC
rnacentral:rRNA from 1 species